GGGGAAGUGUCGGAUCUGGCAGACGAGCUGGACUUAGGAUCCAGUGCCGCAAGGCUUGGGGGUUCAAAUCCCCCCUUCCCCACCA
rnacentral:tRNA from 1 species